rnacentral:rRNA from 1 species
UGGGGAAUCUUGGACAAUGGGGGCAACCCUGAUCCAGCCAUGCCGCGUGAGUGAUGAAGGCCUUAGGGUCGUAAAGCUCUUUCGCCUGUGAAGAUAAUGACGGUAGCAGGUAAAGAAACCCCGGCUAACUCCGUGCCAGCAGCCGCGGUAAUACGGAGGGGGUUAGCGUUGUUCGGAAUUACUGGGCGUAAAGCGCACGUAGGCGGACCAGAAAGUUGGGGGUGAAAUCCCGGGGGCUCAACCCCGGAACUGCCUCCAAAACUAUUGGUCUAGAGUUCGAGAGAGGUGAGUGGAAUUCCAAGUGUAGAGGUGAAAUUCGUAGAUAUUUGGAGGAACACCAGUGGCGAAGGCGGCUCACUGGCUCGAUACUGACGCUGAGGUGCGAAAGUGUGGGGAGCAAACAGGAUUAGAUACCCUGGUAGUCCACACCGUAAAACGAUGAAUGCCAGUCGUCGGGUAGCAUGCUAUUCGGUGACACACCUAACGGAUUAAGCAUUCCGGCCUGGGG